rnacentral:rRNA from 1 species
AGGACGAACGCUGGCGGCGUGCUUAACACAUGCAAGUCGAGCGGUAAGGCCUUUCGGGGUACACGAGCGGCGAACGGGUGAGUAACACGUGGGUGAUCUGCCCUGCACUUCGGGAUAAGCCUGGGAAACUGGGUCUAAUACCGGAUAUGACCUCCUAUCGCAUGGUGGGUGGUGGAAAGAUUUAUCGGUGCAGGAUGGGCCCGCGGCCUAUCAGCUUGUUGGUGGGGUAAUGGCCUACCAAGGCGACGACGGGUAGCCGACCUGAGAGGGUGACCGGCCACACUGGGACUGAGACACCGGCCAGACUCCUACGGGAGCAGCAGUGGGAAUAUUGCACAAGUGGGACGAAAGCCUGAUGCAGCGACGCCGCGUGAGGAUGACGGCCUUCGGGUUAGUAAACCUCUUUCAGCGAAGGACGAAGCGCAAGUGACGGUACCUGAC